UUUUCUACCAAGUCUCACUGCCAGUACCCGACUGGAAGGCAAGGGAGCACUAGAAGAGACUAGACUGCGAACAUGAGAAAACAGGAUGUUGGCGGAACAGUCCAGCAACGCGAAUACAUCUUGAUGGCCACGGCCGAUCACAGGCUGAAGGAGUAAAGUGAGCAUAUUCGCUGCCUGAUCCUGGAACCCAGGACCGGGCUGAACGGCCAAAAACUCAAAAGUCUUGUCUUUCUGGGAAAGUACUGGGUCCACCUUGGGUCACCCCACCUUAAGAAGGAUGUGAAGAAAUGGGGACAAGAGAAGAAGACCAGGGAUGGGACUCAUUAACCAAGAAGAAACGCAGGGGGAGUCAGGUCUGAAUAAGCUGAGGAAAAAGGCCGGCUGUCCUCCCCUGGAGCCCCGACAGGCUGCACAGAGCCUCAGUUGACCAGAAGACUUCAGCAUUCAGGUUUCUCAAGAGGGGCAAAAAGAGUCAACUGUGAAACCAUUUGCUUUCCAGGGAAGUGCAUCUCCAGAACCACCCGUCUCUCCGCCAUGCUUUCCCAGGACAUUUCCAGAAGACCUUCACCGAGAAGGCUCGUCGUCAAGUAGUGGGAAACCCAGAGCACAGAAAAGGUAGGAGCUGGUUGAAUUCCAGUGGAGAUGAUAACUGGGGCCAAACCGGAUUCCUCCUGGUGUUUCAAAGGAGAUAAAGGGCUCCUUAAGGAGCUGCUUGUCUGAUCCAGAAGCAGCUGCAUUUGAAUAGUGAGCGAGCAGCCUCUGAUAUCCAUCAGCCACAUUUAAAAAAAAAAGCCCUGAAAGAGUGUUGGGGUUCUGAUGAGCCUCCGUCACAAGAUCCUGCUUAUUAUUGUUGUUCAGAGAGUUUUCAAAGGAAUCGUCUGUCGGACCUCCUUUUCCAGACUUGACGCUGACCCUUCCGUGCUCCUGGAACUCAGAGGGGAUUUAAAGGAAGGGGCAAGCGGAGUUCAAAGACGGUAAUAAAUUUUCAGCAGGAGUCACUGCUAGCUAUGGCCCCAUCAGACAGACCCACCCACCCUCUUCAACCCCAAGACUUUCAGGCCGGGCCUGCCUCGUAGCAAGAAACUCCAAACACCCACCCCCAAAACACCCCUGAAACAACACCCCUCUGCUCGAGAGCGUGUGAGGCACGUGAUCUCAAAUCCGGACUCACAACGAGAGCUUUCAAUGAAUGUCAGUUUGUAUAUUUCUGCCCAGGGACCCAGCACUUGCUAGGUCAAAUACCAGGAAUGGUGUUUUCUGAAACUCAUGACGGGGUCAAACUGCCUUCCUAGAGGAGAAAAAAAUAACAAGCAAUUCGUAUCUCGCUGCCACUUAAAUACCUGCUUGAGGGAAGGUUUCUUGUGUUUGUUGGGGCUUCUAUUUCUUCCUGAAAAAGGCGAUCUGGGGAGCAACGGCGAGAGGACCCCAGAACCUGUGACUGAUUUCCAACAACCUUUAACUUGGCACCCCAUUUAUAAAGAGAAUAAUGCCUUCUUCGUUCCAGUCAAGAUUUUCUGCUGGAGAGUUGCCUUUGUACCUACCACCGAUGCUUGCUAACAUAUAGUCCUGAGCUGUUAAACUCGGAAAACUGCACAGCUGAAACCAACAGAACAGGAUACAGAACUUCAGAGGAAAUGGAAGGUGAAUUGAGGAAACAGAGUGCUUCAGAAGUCUGUGGGCCAGCAGCAUUCUCAGACUGUACUACUGAGGUUUCGAUCAAACCACGUGGAGAACAGUAUAGCCUAGUGGAAAGUGCAAGGGCC